rnacentral:rRNA from 1 species
CCUACGGGGCGCAGCAGUGAGGAAUAUUGGUCAAUGGGCGGAAGCCUGAACCAGCCAAGUAGCGUGCGGGAUGAAGGCCCUACGGGUCGUAAACCGCUUUUGCACGGGGAUAACACCCUCCACUUGUGGAGGUCUGCAGGUACCGUGCGAAUAAGGGCCGGCUAAUUCCGUGCCAGCAGCCGCGGUAAUACGGAAGGCCCGAGCGUUAUCCGGAUUCAUUGGGCUUAAAGGGAGCGUAGGCGGGCGUUCAAGUCAGCUGUAAAAUCGCGCGGCUCAACCGCGCCCCGCAGUUGAAACUGGACGCAUUGAGUUCACAACAGGCAGGCGGAAUUCGUGGUGUAGCGGUGAAAUGCAUAGAUAUCACGAGGAACCCCGAUUGCGAAGGCAGCCUGCCGGGGUGCGACUGACGCUGAGGCUCGAAGGUGCGGGUAUCAAACAGGAUUAGAUACCCCAGUAGUC